GCGCGCGCAGGAACUUGGAUCUCAACCCCAGGGCUAGGUGCCUCCUCCCGCUGCUUUCCGCCAGCUGCGGGGUGUGAGAUUAAUCCCCGCCGAUUAGCGCCAGGUGUACUAAUCCCUGGAUGGUUCCCUGACCAGAUGAAACAUCAGCCGAUGUUCUAAUGCCCGUCCCCUGGGCACUGUCCCCGAGAGGGAAAACCUGUUUUCUGACCCCGGCUCUAGUCGGCCUCUGGAGAUCUGCAGCUGGGUUAUUUUACUUCUGAAACGGACGACACCUGCCCCGCGCACCCCAGCGGCUCCUCCACACGGAGAGAUGGUGUCAGUCAAAGGCCGUCUAGAUGACGAGUUUAUGAAAUUGUUCCUGGCCCGUGCCGGGCACGACCUUGCAGAGAGCCCAGAAGAUGAAACCCCAGCCCUGCCAGGAGCUCACCUGCUAAUUAGGAGGACAACGAAUCACCUCACCUCCCUAGACUUUGCUUCUCCUUUAUUCAGUGAGGGAUUGGACUAGCUGGUCCUUAAGGACUUUUCAGAAAGUCUGGUUCUGGGAGAUGACCAAUGGGAUCAUCUUAUGCUAUGAGCUUUCCUGGAAUGACAGGUAAUGGAGAGUGAGGAGAUUUUACCUGAUAUGGUCCUGUUUGCACCGUCAGCCAGCAACCUUUCUGGGAAGCAUGCUUAUUAUGUACCAACAUAGAAGCUUGAAUAUAAGGUUCCUCAGGCCAGAUCUGACCCACUGGCAUUUAUUACAUUUUCUGCUAAAGGAGCCACUCUCAACCUGGAAGAGAGGAGAUCUGUGGCAAUCAGAUCCAGAGAGAAUGUGGUCUUCGUACAGACUGAUAAACCCACCUACAAGCCUGGACAGAAAGUGAUGUUUUGAGUUGUGUCUCUGGACGAUCAUUUGAAACCAGUUGAUGAAAUGUAUCCAGUGAUCACCCUUCAGGAUCCAGAAGGCAGUCGAAUACAACAGUGGGUGAAUGAGGAGUCUGUGGGAGGGAUUCUACAACUCUCCUUCCAGUUAAUCUCAGAGCCCAUCCUCGGAUGGUAUGAAAUCACCAUGGAGAUGCUCAAUGAGAAGAAAACAUAUCACUCCUUCUCUGUGGAAGAAUAUGUGUUACCCAAAUUUCAAAUGACUGUGGAUGCACCAGAAAAUAUCUUAGUUGUGGACUCUGAAUUCAAAGUGAAUGUCUGUGCCUUAUAUACCUAUGGUGAACCUGUGGACGGGAAGGUCCAACUUAGUGUGUGCAGAGAAUCUACGGCUUAUCAUUCAUGUGCUCAUCUUAUCAGUUCACUCUGUAAAAAUUUUACCAUUCAGUUGGGGAAAGAUGGCUGUGUCUCCAAGUUCAUUAACACAGGUGCUUUUGAGUUAAAUCGGUAAGGAUACUGGAGUUUCCUCAAAGUGCAUGCUCUUGUUACAGAGAACGGAACAGGUGUGCAGCUUACAGGCUCCAAGUACAUAUACAUAGACUCAUCAGUGGUGAAGAUUAGUUUUGAGAAUAUGGAUAUGUCCUACAAACAGGGACUCCCUUAUUUUGGCCAGAUUAAAUUGCUUGAUCCAGACAACUCUCCAAUCCCAAAUGAAGUUGUCCAGUUGCAUCUGAAGGACAAAAUCGUGGGAAACUACACCACAGAUGUAAAUGGCAUCGCUCAGUUUUUCUUGGACACAUAUACGUUUACAUACCCAAAUAUCACUUUGAAAGCAGCCUACAAGGCCAAUGAAAAUUGCCAGGCUCAUGGCUGGGUGUUGCCUCAAUACCCUCAGCCCGAGUACUUUGCAUAUCGAUUUUACUCCAAGACGAAUAGCUUCCUAAAGAUUGUCCAAGAGAUGGAAGAACUGAGAUGCAACCAGCAGAAGAGGGUGCUAGUGCACUGCAUUCUCAAUAUGGAAGACUUUGAAGACAAAACCUACACAGCAGACUUCAAUUAUUUGGUGAUUUCAAAAGGUGUAAUCAUUCUUCAUGGGCAACAGAAAAUUGAGAUCAACGAAAAUGGGAGGAAGGGCAUAUUUUCCAUUUCUAUAGACAUUAACCCUGAAUUAGCGCCCUCAGUAGAUAUGCUUGUCUAUAGCUUGCAUCCUGGAGGAGAAAUGGUCACUGAUAGCACCCAAUUCCGAAUUGAGAAAUGCUUCGAAAAUCAGGUCAACUUAAAUUUUUCUAAAGAAAAAAGUUUACCAGGAUCCAAUAUUGAUCUUCAAGUCUCGGCUGCUUCAAACUCUCUUUGUGCUCUUUGGGCUGUAGACCAGAGUGUAUUGCUACUAAGGAAUUAUGGUCAGCUGUCAGCACAAACUGUGUAUAGUCAGCUAUAUUCCAGGGAACUACAUGGCUAUUACUUCAGAGGACUUAACUUAGAAGAUGGCCUUAAAGUGCCGUGUCUUGAAGAUGAACAUAUCCUUUACAAUGGAAUUUAUUACACACCUGCAUGGGCUGACUUUGGAAAAGAUGGCUAUGACCUUGUGAAGGCAACAGGAUUAAAGAUUUUUACCAACUCUCACCUCCGGAAACCAGUAUUGUGCAAGGAUUCUAACCAUCUUGACUCUACUGAUUACAUACCCUUAGGAUCCUCAAAACAAUCGGAUUUUUCAAAGGCAAAAUGUGACUUCUUUCCGAAAUAUUACCCAACUCUCGUUCCAACUGAUUUCAGAACCAAUGUUUGGAGAUUACUGGAUUGUUGUGAAAAGAAACUCAAGGGAGACAGUGACACACCAAUUUGCUGUUAAAAGAUAUGUGCUGCCCAAGUUUGAAGUUACAGUCAAUGCACCACAAACAGUAACUAUUUCAGAUGAUGAAUUCCAAGUGGAUGUAUGUGCUAAGUACAACUUUGGCCAACCUGUGCAAGGGGAAACCCAAAUCCGGGUGUGCAGAGAGUAUUUUUCUUCAAGCAAUUGUGAGAAAAAUGAAAAUGAAAU
rnacentral:lncRNA from 1 species